UACGUAGGGUGCGAGCGUUUGUCCGGAAUUAUUGGGCGUAAAGAGCUUGUAGGCGGUUUGUCGCGUCUGCCGUGAAAGUCCGGGGCUCAACUCCGGAUCUGCGGUGGGUACGGGCAGACUAGAGUGAUGUAGGGGAGACUGGAAUUCCUGGUGUAGCGGUGAAAUGCGCAGAUAUCAGGAGGAACACCAAUGGCGAAGGCAGCUCGCUGGGACGGUACUGACGCUGGAGGCGCGAAAGCUAGGGUAGCAAACGGG
rnacentral:rRNA from 1 species